rnacentral:rRNA from 1 species
CCUACGGGAGGCAGCAGUGAGGAAUAUUGGUCAAUGGGCGGAAGCCUGAACCAGCCAAGUAGCGUGCGGGAUGAAGGCCCUACGGGUCGUAAACCGCUUUUGCACGGGGAUAACACCCUCCACUUGUUGAGUUCUGCAGGUACCGUGCGAAUAAGCGCCGGCUAAUUCUGUGCCAGCAGCCGCGGUAAUACGGGGGGCCCGAGCGUUAUCCGGAUUCAUUGGGCUUAAAGGGAGCGUAGGGGGGCGUUCAAGUCAGCUGUAAAAUCGCGCGGGUCAACCGCGCCCCGCAGUUGAAACUGGACGCCUUGAGUUCACAACAGGCAGGCGGAAUUCGUGGUGUAGCGGUGAAAUGCAGAGAUAUCACGAGGAACCCCGAUUGCGAAGGCAGCCUGCCGGGGUGCGACUGACGCUGAGGCUCGAAGGUGCGGGUAUCAAACAGGAUUAGAUACCCCAGUAGUC